ensembl:lncRNA
GCAUAAUAUAGCUUGAGUGGAGCUGGGUAUAUAAGGACUAGUUUUGUACUCUGUGUGUUGGUACUACUUUUUGAUAGUGGUUAAAUCACAUUACACUGUAUCAAUCAAACUCAUUGUACCUUCAGUUGAGAUCAGUGUUCUUUGCUAUUCUACCUAUUGGACCACUAUACCAUAUAGAAGUAAUUACCUGCACUGUUUAUUCCAUUUGCCCUUUUUUAUUUUCUUUUAACUGGGGGGUGUGUUGACUGUUUCAGAUAGUGGAGAGUGAAAAAUACAGUGGACGAGUGAAUCUCUGGGCUAUGAAGAUUUUCUUUUUUGUUUAUCCAACCUGGCUCUGUAGCCCUGUUUAAAACAUGAAUGCCUAUACAUGACAAAUACAAGUCAAAGCCAAGCACAGACAGAUCACACUGGAUGGAAAUGCACAGUGGGUGGGUGAAAGGAAGCACUAGGAUCAGGGUAGGUCAUUUCCCAUGGUACGGUUUGCAUCUAUUUUUUUUUCUUUCGCCAAGGUUUGCCCAUACUAGGAGGUAUAAAUGUAUAUGAAGGAUGCAGAAAAGGCCUCUCAUUGAUGCUGAGACCCACAUUUCCCCUUCUUUGCCUCAUUUGAAAGAGCUAAUACUUUCCUUUCUUUCUUUCUUUUUUCUAACGUGGAUUCUCUACUGUCUCAUCGCUUAAGCCGAGGUGACAGUUUGGGCUGUUUAGCAAAACAGCUCCUCUCACAUGCCCACCAUCUUCAGUUGCCUGUCUCCUGCAAGGCUGUCUGCCAUUGCUAACAUCUUUAGGUCAGUGAAGCCUCAGCAGCUAACAAUGUUAGCCACUAGAGUAGAAAUGAGUCAUGCAACAAAGCAGGCUGCAGUCGAAUCCUGUCGCUUAAGAGGCUGGAGCCACUGUGGGGGUAAAGUGGUGAUCUUCAAAACAGACAGAGAGAGGAAUAUCACAGAUGGCAAGCCCAUUGUGCUCGGAUAUAGAAAUCUGUCUGCUACCGCAGAGAUGCUAUUUGGUAAGCUGAAACGCUUGUCUCCCUGUUUUCCUUUCACUGAAAUAUAGAUGUGUGCAGGCCUCUGUUGUGAGACUACAUCCUGCCCCUCUCCACACUCUGCAGUCAUUCAAAACGAGUGCAGACUACUGUUACCCUGUAUAACAUUGCAGCAGACAAGCUGAAUGGAAAAUCUUCUCUGUCAGAGGGAGCGUUGCUUUUUGGAAUAUGAUUUAAAUUGAGUAAACUAAUUAUAUGUUUGCUCCAGAUUGGUUCCCCGGAUGAAAUGAGCAGCCAGAGCUUGAUCUGGGAUUUAAACAAAGGAAAGAUUCCAAGGCUAUUAUCACACAUCAUCCUCGCAGGCCAGGGACUUCUUUAAUACCUUUCUUUGAAACACAUGCCAACAACAUAAAAAAAGGGUGAAAUUUAGGAUCUGGGGAAAAUCUGUCCUGUAGGUCUGCUGGCAGUGUAUCAACAAAUCAUGAGCUUUGUAGCUUUAGCGCUAAGCUUGCCCGUUGCUGAUUGUAGACUCACAUGCAUUCAAGCAUUGUCACAUAGGACAAUGUGUUACGUAAUUAGGGUUUUCAACAUUUUGGUAUCUGCACAAUAUAUUGUAUAUCGGCAACCCCUUGUGAUUGCCUGUACUUGGAAUCAAGAUUUAUUAGACCCAUAUAAAAAGCAACAUGGCCCUGCUUUUGUAACUCAGUGGCUGAAAUACAUUUCACAAGAUGUGGAUGUGAUGCUUGGAAAAAAAAAGUCAGAUGCUGAUUAUAGCUGGCAGUGGGUGUUGAGAACAUUUUUGUGAAUGCAAAAACCACUUUUGUGCUAAACAGCAUUGCGGCCACGAAGGUCUUCAUACAUAGAGCGUUAGUUUAAAAUAUACAACAGGUCAGCUCUGUUGGAUCAGACUUAUGACCCCAAUAAUGGCCCCAACCCAGACUCAAAGACUAACACGACACCUGGGAUGCCUCUUGAGGAAAAGGACUAGCAUGUAGUGAAUUACUUUGUCACCCGAUGGAAAACCUCCAGGAUGCAAACGGCAAAAGAGGAAUGUUUCAUUUUUUAGUGAACCCAACAAUUUGACUGUCAUCGUCCGAUCAGGAGCGUUACAUCAAAUAGAUGACCCCUGCCGAUGAGACAUCACCCUUUGCACACAUGCUGCUGUGGAAAUAAACAUGCUUUGCUACUGAGUGGAAUGGAAAAAGCCGGACCAAUAUGGUUCCAGUCACUUUCAUUCAUAAAUCUGUGUUUUCUAUAAACAUUUAUCAUUGCUGUAGGCUAUAAUUGGUGGAUCCUCCAUGUAAUUUGCCAUAGCCAAGUCACAGCUACAACUCUACAGUCACAUCAACUGAUCAUCUUAAAAGAGGAAAAAAAAAAUAUAUAUUCAGAGGCAUUUCACAUUAAUUCAUUUUAGAUCCACUAAAAAUCAUUUUGACGUAUCUGCACUUUUGGCGCUACAAAACCCUUUCAGCUCUUGGAUUGCAAAAUUGCAGUAGAUUGAAUAAUUAAGAACAAUUUUUCAGGUCUCGUCAUAUAAUUUUAUUCUAAUAACAAGUACAAUUGACUCUGCACGACUAAAUUAGUGAACUGCUACUCAUAACCAGUUGCUUCAUCUAUUCAGGGGAACAUCACGAAGAUUGAGAUAGUACAUAGCACCAAAUUCAAGCACUGCUCUCUGGAGAAAUGACAAAAGGGGCAAAGCAAGGGUCACCCACUGAAUAAAACAUAUAAUUGCACUGAUGGGUAAAUAGUCAAGCAAUUGCAGUGCCAUGCUAAGCGGCUGACAGCCGAGUAUGAAUCUUAAUUAAUAACUCGCCAUGCGCUCAGUUGUCUGAUUGACGAUAGGUGAGGAACACAAGCCAACUGUAGCAUGAGGGAAGUGACAGAAGAUCUAGUCAGCAGCUGACACAUUUGAAAUUAUAAGUGGAAAUUACUAGGAACUGUGGUGAAAUUAAUGCAUGGUGGCAGUUGCUAACAGGAAUUAGCCUGGGUGGUGACGACAGAAAUACAGUCCUAAUUUUCUCAUACAGAACAAGGCGUCCUGCUGGAUCGCUGGAGGAUGUAAGGCUAGGCAUACUGACAGAAAAAAAGUUGUUGGAGGGGAGGUGCUGCAAUGACUCAUGAAUCAGGGGUUAUAUAAGUGAGCAAGUGCAUUAAAUGGAUGUAAUUCUAUUUUGGAGAAGCAUGGCUACAAAAGCAAUGCAAGGUGAAAUGGCUACAUUUUCGAAAAAAAGAGAAAAAAAGCUACUUUUGUGGAAAAUUAAAGCAUUAGACGACCUUCGGCUGUACAGAUUGAGAAAGCCAGUGAUAAGUGAUAACUUCAAAACUUACACAAGCAGGAAGGGGAAAUAAAAAAAAAGAAAAAAGAGUGAUGGGAGAUAAAUUAAAUCUUGAGCUAGCUGCACAAAUUGAGAGUCAGCUAAAGUAGACCUCAGCAUGACUGAUUGAAGAACUGGCCAAAUGCGGCAUCCCUUAUGAUCAAAAUAAUGUGAAAAAGGAUUUUGAACACACGGGAGCAGAAGAAGAGAGGAACCACUGACCAACCACAGCUUUAGACCCAACACCUUUAAUGAGACUAAAACACAUGUUUGGCGGUUCUGGCGGCUGACAAUGAUAGAUAGCCUGCUACUUGAUUAAUGGCAUAACAGGCAACCAGAGUCACAGUGCUCCACUUACAAAAUAUGUUCAGUCUUAACAUCCCAAGAAUUGAGCCAAUCAACAAUUUAUGCUCUGGCAACCACACUGGAAUUGACAUCUGCUUUCCAUAACAAGCUUAUUUCAUAUAUGAACCUGGUUAACUGACUAUUUUUUGGUCUGCAGACUGACUUGUUCACCAUUAGUGUCCAGUACAUGUUGGCUCAUCUACUAACUUUGUGUUUAGUCAGCUGAAUGUUAAAGGUGCCCUGUGAAAUCUCCAUUAUUUGGUUUAUUCAGUGUUUUUGCCAAAUAUAAUCAUUAUGUCCUAACAGACAUGUCAAAUGCAUCGCCUACCUCAUAGAACACUUGUAGAGAUUUCAUUAUUGAAUGCUUUUGUUCAGCUUUCCGUCUUGUUUUUCUUUGCAACUACAGAUUGUUGCUUUUUGUUUUCGACCUCCCCAGUUGUCAGUAUGCAUUGCUGCCUCCCAUGCUCUUUACAUGCAUGUACAUGUUGGUAGAGCAUGCAAUACCAACCCUUUAUCAUCAAAACAUUGCUCAACAGCACCUCUAGUGGUCAUAAACUCUGCAGGGUACCUUUAAUGUUGCUGCUCACUUGUGAAAACCUCAGCUUACACUUAUGUCAAGUCAGACAUGUUUUCAAGUAAGGGCUAGGUCUUAACAGACUAGGGCUAACAACAGUUCAGAUUGAGUGAAGUAUGACUGAAAGAGGAUUCAUUCAUUUUAUCCCAUCCACACUGCAAGUGCCAAGAUUCAAAAGGCUUCUGUUUGUCACACGCUCAUACAGUAUGUACAGUGAAAUGAAAAGUGACUGUUCUCAAGGCUGGACUACUGCAGGGACUUCUCCCUCUCUGUUCAUUUAGUGUGAAUUUUUACAUGAGAUAAGACAAAAAAAGAAAAAAAAAUACAUAAAGUAAUAGCAGAUGAGAGGCAAUGUCAUUCCCAUUAACAAACAUGUCUUUGAUUUCAAAAUAAUUCAUUUAUUUAUUUUUAUUUUAGACAGGAGCAGUUAACACUAUAUUCCCAGAAUGUCACUCAUACAUCAUGCAAGGAGAUUUAUCCCAAAUCUGUGCUGCAAUGAGACAAAAGUGAUCACACUAAAUAUGUAUCAGCUGUUUUUGUUGGCCAAGUGAAACAAGAUCUUAAAUCUGUGACAGAUGUUAUCUGGAGCCUAUGCAUUUACUAUUUCCAUCACAGAGUGAAAUGAAAAAUAGAGCUAAUUGUUUUUAAGCUGCCAAAAGUUAUUGUUUACCAGGUAUUUAGUGUUUUGCAGGACUUAUUCUCGGGUAACUGGGAUCUGCAUUUACACCAUCACAACAUACUAAAACUCUCCACUGUAACCAGCACGAUGGAUUCUUUUAACAGCUCUUUUUAAAUGCAGGGCAAGUCACACCUAUCCUUUGACAGAGGAAUCAUUAGGCCUUUAAACUAGGAACUAAUAACCUUAAAACCUGACUGGAUAGUUAAACGGGCAAAUAAAAUAUGAAAAGAAGCUAAAAUUGAAUUGCUGCUUUUACACUUUAUAUUCUGUGGCAGAUUUACAGGGAACACAAGGAGUUUUUUGUUUCAUUUUGUUUUGGGUUUUUCUUUUUCUGAGGGGAAAAGUAUGCCUUUUGUUUAAGUUUGGUGUACCAUAAAAACUUGGACACACUUUCUAUUUUGUCACCUUUUUCUAAUUCAGUUUCUGGUUCAUGAUUGAAUUCAUCUUUGUUAGACCGUGAAAAUUCUGUUAUUUCCUCAAGCCUUUGCGGUCACAUUGAGGACACUGAGUGGGUGCAGCAUGCAUGAGCAGCAGUGUGUUUCCAUGUGCGUUUGGUGAAACACUUUCAAAAAAAAAAAACAACAAAAAAAAACAACAAAAAAAAACCACAGGAUUCAUGGAGUAGUUGUAAACUUUAAAAAAACACAUGGCCUGCAAAAAUCUGUCACUCCUUACUGAGUGCAUUUACAAGGGAAUUCAUAUGCUGAUAUUGUUUUUGCCAGUGACUGAGGCUUGUAAACAUCAUAUCCAUUAGGGUUUCUUUCUGCAAUGUGCCUAAUUUCCGUUUCUGUGUUAGGAUUUUCAAAUAUUCUCUUUAUUUCGUGUCAUAUGGUGUCUGGCUUGUCCUGAAUAAGACUUGAAUUUGGAUUUAUUUGCUUUUCGCUUGUAAUAGCACACAUUUAGAACAGCGUUCACAUCCAAACAGCAGAUGUAAGAUAACAGUCUGAGAAUGCCCCAGGGUUUAAUGACUCCCAUCCGGUGUCACCCUCCUUUAAAAACGUGUGUCCAUCCUUCAUAAAGGGGAAGCUCCGAACCAAUCCAGGUAGCAUUUCUUCAGUCAUUUUCUUUUAAAUCCCAACACCAGUAUGUUUUAAUGAGCCAGUCUAGCAGGGUGAGUAUAAAUCCACACAGUUCGGGACUGAAUACGCUUAAAAAAAACCCUGUUCUAGGGGGAUGCUUCACUUUUGUUCCUGUGUAAAUCUACCCUGACCGUGGUCAACAGUCAGCCUGUGUUGUAGUGUUUGGGGGGCGGGGAGGGGGGAGAGACAGAGAGAUGAACGAGCACUGCGAAUGAAUGUAACGCAACGUGCCAUUUUCUGACCUCAAAUCGCAGCAGAAACAACAACAAUCAAACCUCAGAUUCAUCCUGAGAGGUUUUUGCUGGCAGUCUGCAAACUAAAGGUGGACUUGUUCUUUGAAUGCCAUGUGAAACAGGGGGAACUAUGUGAGCAGGUCUGGCAUUUGUAUUGUAGAUUAUUUGUCACUUGUCUUUCUUUCUGGUUAAAUAGUAAUUACUCUUCUGGAGCACAAUAAAUGAUUUUAAUAUGC